rnacentral:tRNA from 1 species
GGAGUUGUGGCUCAGCGGUAAAGCACUUGCCUAUCAUGCAUGAAGCAUGGGGUUCGAUCUUCAGCACCA